rnacentral:rRNA from 1 species
AGUACGUGAAAUUUUUGAAAGGAGAAGCGCUUGCAACCAGACGUGAACCGCGGGCGAUCAACCGCUACUCCUUACCGGUGCAAUCGCCCGUGUUCAGGCCAGCAUCAGUCUGGGCGACUGGAUAAAGUCCCCCGGAAUGUGGGUCCUUUCGGGGAGUGUUAUAGCCGGGGGGGUCAUGCAGCCCGCCUGGACCGAGGGCCGCGCUUUGGGUAGGAUGCAGGCGUAAUGGUUGUAAGCGACCCGUCUUGAAACACGGACCAAGGAGUCUAACUUCUAUGCGAGUGUUUGGGUGUCAAACCCAUGCGCGCAAUGAAAGUGAAUGGAGGUGGGAACUCCCCCGGGGGUGCACCAUCGACCGAUCCUGAUGUCUUUGGAUGGAUUUGAGUACGAGCAUAGCUGUUGGGACCCGAAAGAUGGUGAACUAUGCCUGAAUAGGGUGAAGCCAGAGGAAACUCUGGUGGAGGCUCGCAGCGGUUCUGACGUGCAAAUCGAUCGUCAAAUUUGGGUAUAGGGGCGAAAGACUAAUCGAACCAUCUGUUACUGGAUGGCACACGGGCCUUGAGUGGCCUGAGUAGUCCCUGUGAUGGGGGCGACACCGCCGGUCUUCCGGGGACGUUUCUGGGCUACCCGCAGUGAGCCUCGGGCUCAUUCACACCCUAUGUCACGGUGACCGCGCCCGCAGCGCGGUUAGGUUAUAGCCGAUUCCCCUC